rnacentral:tRNA from 1 species
GCCCGGGUGGCGAAAUCGGUAGACGCAGCGGACUUAAAAUCCGCCACCUUGAAAAGGGUGUACGGGUUCGAGUCCCGUCCCGGGCA